AAAUGAAUAGACGGGGACCCGCACAAGCGGUGGAGCAUGUUGUUUAAUUCGAAGCAACGCGAAGAACCUUACCCACACUUGACAUCCUUCUUAGGGCUUUCAGAGAUGAUUGCUUUCGGUUCGGCCGGGGAAGUGACAGGUGCUGCAUGGCUGUCGUCAGCUCGUGUCGUGAGAUGUUGGGUUAAGUCCCGCAACGAGCGCAACCCUUAUCGUAUGUUGCCAUCAUUUAGUUGGGCACUCAUGCGAGACUGCCGGUGAUAAGCCGGAGGAAGGCGGGGACGACGUCAAGUCAUCAUGGCCCUUACGUGUGGGGCUACAAACGUGCUACAAUGGUAGGUACAGUGAGCAGCCAGUCCGCGAGGACGCGCUAAUCUCUAAAACCUAUCUCAGUUCAGAUUGCACUCUGCAACUCGAGUGCAUGAAGUUGGAAUCGCUAGUAAUCGUGCAUCAGCAUGUCACGGUGAAUACGUUCCCGGGUCUUGUACACACCGCCCGU
rnacentral:rRNA from 1 species